GGCUUCUCUUAGUAACGGCGAGUGAAAAGAGAAAAGUCCAUCGCUGAAUCCGAAUAAUUAUUUGAAUGAUUAUAAGGAAAUGUAGCGUAUAAGUGUAUUGUUGUUUUUUAUGUAUGUAUUUUUAAGACUCAAAGUUUCCUUGAAUGGAGCAAAUAUCCAAAGAAGGUGCAAGACCUGUACGAGUGUUAAUAUAAAUGCAUACAUAACAAUGACUUGUUGUUGUUGUUGACAAACAUACACUGUAGAGUCGGGUUGCUUGGUAUUGUAGCCUAAAGUUGAUGGUAAACCUCAUCUAAGACUAAAUAUGUCCAUGAAACCGAUAGCGAACAAGUACCGUGAGGGAAAGUUGCAAAGAACUUUGAAGAGAGAGUUCAAGAGGGCGUGAAACCGCUAAAAGGGAAGCGGAUAGAAUUAACAAAACAUAACGUCAUUCAAUCAGUUAAUAUAUUUGUUGUCAAAGUAUAAUUAAUAAUAAUUUAUGUAAUUUUUAUAUUGUUAUUAUACUUGCAACGACUGGUGUAUUUGACGUUUGUAUGCGCUGGGAGUUUCGUUGUUGUGCGUAUGUGUAUUGCAGUUUUUAGUGAUUUAUAUGUAUGAUAAUACUUUAUGAAAAUAAAGUAACAUGUAAAAUCUAACUGCAAAAAUAUAACAGUAUUUUGUAUCAACAAUGAAAUAAAAUAUUAAUUCCAGUGUAAACGUUGAUCACCUAUCCGACCCGUCUUGAAACACGGACCAAGGAGUCUAGCAUAUACGCAAGUCAUUGGGUGAAUUAAAACCUAUAGGCGGAAUGAAAGUAAAAAUUUAUAAUGGGAUCCUUAAAUUGGAAUAAAUUCUUAAAUAAAGGCGUACCAUUAUCCCGUACGAUAGAAUUUUUUUGUAAAAAAAAAUUAGUACGGAGAAUGAGCGUAUACGCUAGGACCCGAAAGAUGGUGAACUAUGCCUGAGCAGGAUGAAGCCAGAGGAAACUCUGGUGGAAGUCCGAAACGGUUCUGACGUGCAAAUCGAUCGUCGACUUGGGUAUAGGGGCGAAAGAC
rnacentral:rRNA from 1 species